UAAUGGACGACUUGAUAAAUAGUCUUCGCGGUUUAAUUUCGCUAGGUUUUUUUGUCAUCCUCCCACCUUCGUUUUUUUUUCGUCAUCCUCCCACCUCCGUGCUCCCUUUCCCCCUCCGCAUCGCUCGAUCCAAAUCCUCCCUCUCCCUCGGUCUCGCCUCUCCUAUCGCGCGAUGUCGCUCGAUCCUCUCUAGGGUUCGCCGCCCGCCGUCGUCCCUCGCCGUCCUGCUCCGCUGUCGCCCCUCCCUCCACCUACCUCGCCCCUGCUCUAGGGUUCGCCUCCCGCCGCCGCCGCCCCCCGCCGCCCUGCUCCGUUGUUGCCCGUCCCUCCGCCUGCCUCGCCCCCUCCCCUACACUCACCCCUGCCCGAUCUGGAUCUGGAUGAGGUGUUGCCUCCCGUUCCUCUCAUCGCGUCCCUUGUGCCAGCCAUGGAAGAGGGGAGGAAGAAGGGGAGGGAGAGCAAAGAGGACCGCGGUGGCGAUGUGCCAACGUUGGCAGGACCAAGAUGUGUGAAUCAAGGAGUCCCUGCAUCUACCCGCGACCCUAGAAUAGCCGCUACCGCUAUGACCUUUCUCCAUGUCGUGAGCUUCGAAGAGUCUGGCGGCGCCAUCACGCCGGCCUCUGUCCAAGAGGUCAUCGCGCUCAACAGGCCCUCACUCCACGGCUCCGCCUGCGGAGGCCGUCGACGCCAUCGCAGGGUGCCGCUUUGAGGCCGGGGUUGAAGCUGCCACCGAGGAGGCCAUCUUGACGCAGAUGUUGCAGGCACUCCUGACGUGCAUGCGCUCCCCUGCGAUUAGUGACCAACACAUCUGCUCUGUCGUGAGCAUGUGCUUCGUGUCAUACAGGUCGCGGCCAAAGGCGAGCUCGUGCAGCGGUUCAGGUACAUCUAAGGAGGCCUUCUCCGACAAGGAGGCUGCGGGUCGAGGUCGUCGGCAGCGACAAUGCCGCCAGCCGCAAGCACCGCCGCGAGGACGACAAAAGUGAGCACUUUACCCCCGCCAGGUCGAUCGCGUCUUCCCCCUUCUUUGGGCACAAAUUAAACCUGUGCGCAACUCGGAUCUGGAUUUGUGUGAUUUUCAGCUCUGCUUGUUCGUUAGGGAUUUGUGGUUAGGUAAAGGGAGAGCAAGAUAAUGGAGAUAAUUUGAAUAAAUAAAAAAGUUUGGAUUUCGAGCUG